rnacentral:rRNA from 1 species
AUUGAACGCUGGCGGAAUGCUUUACACAUGCAAGUCGAACGGUAACAGGUCUUCGGAUGCUGACGAGUGGCGAACGGGUGAGUAAUAUAUCGGAACGUGCCCAGUCGGGGGGGAUAACGUAGCGAAAGUUACGCUAAUACCGCAUACGAUCUAUGGAUGAGAGCGGGGGAUCGCAAGACCUCGCGCGAUUGGAGCGGCCGAUAUCAGAUUAGGUAGUUGGUGGGGUAAAGGCUCACCAAGCCAACGAUCUGUAGCUGGUCUGAGAGGACGACCAGCCACACUGGAACUGAGACACGGUCCAGACUCCUACGGGAGGCAGCAGUGGGGAAUUUUGGACAAUGGACGCAAGUCUGAUCCAGCCAUUCCGCGUGCAGGAUGAAGGCCCUCGGGUUGUAAACUGCUUUUGUACGGAACGAAAAGGUCUCUCCUAAUACGAGGGGCUCAUGACGGUACCGUAAGAAUAAGCACUGGCUAACUACGUGCCAGCAGCCGCGGUAAUAC